GCCUUGGUAGUCUACUGGCUAAAACACUGUGCUCAAAAUGCAGGUGGCCUGGGUUUGAUUCCUGGUCAGGGAA
rnacentral:tRNA from 1 species